AUUGUAGGCUGCAACUCGCCUACAUGAAGUCGGAAUUGCUAGUAAUCGCGGAUCAGCAUGCCGCGGUGAAUACGUUCCCGGGCCUUGUACACACCGCCCGUCACACCAUGGGAGUCGGUAACACCCGAAGCCUGUAGUCUAACCGCAAGGGGGGACGCAGUCGAAGGUGGGGAUUGAUGACUGGGGUGAAGUCGUAACAAGGUAAC
rnacentral:rRNA from 1 species